CCCUUAGACGUUCUGGGCCGCACGCGCGCUACACUGACCAGUACAACAAGCAUCCGUCCUUGGCCGACAGGCCCGGGCAAUCUUUGAACGCUGGUCGUGAUGGGGAUAGACUUUUGCAAUUUUUGGUCUUCAACGAGGAAUUCCUAGUAAACGCAAGUCAUCAACUUGCAUUGAUUACGUCCCUGCCCUUUGUACACACCGCCCGUCGCACCUACCGAUUGAAUGGUCCGGUGAAGCCUCCGGAUUGGCGCGCACCUCGGUGCCGCCGAGAAGUUGGCUAAACCUUACCAUUUAGAGGAAGGUGAAGUCGUAACA
rnacentral:rRNA from 1 species